rnacentral:rRNA from 1 species
CUUUACUCCAGCUUUGCAGUGGUAUGAGGGAUUGCAUGUGUAGAAUAGGUGGGACGCUUUGAAGCAUUGGCGCUAGCCAGUGUGGAGCGGCCGUUGAAAUACCACCCUUGCGAUCUUUUAUAUCUAACCAAGACCGAUGAAUCGCGGUCUGGGGCCCUGCAUGGUGGGGAGUUUGACUGGGGCAGUCGCCUCCCAAAGAGUAACGGAAGCGCGCGAUAGUGGGCUCAAGCUGGUCGGAAAUCAGCUGUUAAGUGCAAAGGCAUAAGCCCGCCUGACUGCGAGACCAACAAGUCAAGCAGAGACGAAAGUCGGCCUUAGUGAUCCGGUGGUUCCAAGUGGACGGGCCAUCGCUCAACGAAUAAAAGGUA